GCGCCAGUGGUGUAGGGUGAACAUCGCGGCCCGGAAAGCAGAAGAUGCGGGUUCGAGUCCCGCCUGGCGCA
rnacentral:tRNA from 1 species